ensembl:lncRNA
UCUCUCUCUCUCUCUCUCUCUCUCUCUAUUUCGACUAAACCAUCAUUAUAUAUAAAGGAGGGGGGACCAACCAAUUCCAUUUGUAAAAGCUUAAAGCUGGUCACAAUUUUUCAAGCAAAUGUCAGUGAAAUAUGGAAGAUUCAGCUUCUUUACCGAGGUGCGUAACCUUGAUGAACGGAUUCGUCCUCCUCCUGUGUUUGGACCGUGUGUGUGUGUUUCCUCUCUCCUCCUGUCAGCUGCAGGGAGUCUGGAUGCAUGGAUGGGAGCUUGAACAAACCAGUGAGAGACAUAAAGAGGAACUGAGGGAGAGAGAGAAAGAGAGAGAGAGAGCAUGCACACACACACACACACACACACAUACACAGCUUCAGGAGCACAUUCUUACACGCCACAAAGCAGUUGCUUGGACGACCGAAGACAGAACGAAAGACGGGAAUCACAACACAGAGGAGAGGAAAAGGAAGAAGAACGAGAGUGGGUGGGGGGAAAAAAAGAUCUCCAGGUUCUGGGUGUUAAAAAGUGUUUGUUUCGAGACAGGAUUGUGUGAAGAUCAUCUUCUUAAAGAUUAAAAUAUUCCUUUCUUUUAGAGAGAUCUUGUGGGGGAGAUUACUACAAAGCAAGCAACUCCUCCAGCAGGUAAGAAGAGUUCUCCUCUCAUUCAUCCACUGCGCAUUCACGUCUUCUUUCAAAACUUUGGGUCUCGAUUGCGUACUAUUACAGUGAGAAAGGAAUGAGUUGAGUUGAGAGAAACGGGGUUUUGAUUGGAGGAGAGAGCGAACGCACAAUAAGGAGAAAAAUAAUCCACCUAAAAAAGAGAGAGAGAGAGAGAGAGAGAGAGAGAGAGAGAGAGAGAGAGAGAGAGAGAGAGAGAGAGACCGGUCUCCGAAGACAAAACAAGUUUGCGUUUUUCUCUUUUUCUCACACACAGAGGCAUGCCUGAUCCACAGGUAUCCACGGAAAUACUUUCAUACAUCUGAUUUUAAAUGCUCUAGAGCUCUACAGAACAGUUUAAGUCAGGCAGGUUGUUCCACCAUUUCAGAACCACAAAAGAGUCCAGUUUUAUUCUUAGUACUACCAGGUGGUAUCACCAGGUACAAUUCCCAGACUGUACUGAUCAUGAGGGGAAAUAAAUAGGUGAAGUGCUUUUGGUUACUCAAUUUUCAAGUAUAAAGAACUCCAUGAAGCCAGUGGAGGCUGGAGAUAAAGAGAGGGGCGUGACAUCCACAGACUUUUUGGAUUAUCGACUGGCACAGGGUAGCAAUAAAGGAACAAUGGGAUGGCUUCAAGGGCUCAGAGUAGACAAUUUGGCCAAAGAAGACCCUAAAGACCCUAGAAAUAAAUUGUCUAGGAGGGAAGCAAAAAGCUGAGCCAGAAGCCCACUCCUUAUAGAAAAAUCACAUACAUUUCACAUGAUCAUAUGUUUGUUUGUUUUUUCCCCCACACAAUACGUGAUACAUGAAUGUGAACGUGCUUAUCAACAUGCUACGCCCUGUGAGCCAAAUGAAACAUACGUGACAUCGGGUAAAUAAAUUACAAUUACAAUGUGGAACGUGAACAUGUGAAAAUAAUCGAAUUGUGUUUACGUAAGUCACGUGAAAAUGAAUCGAAUGCAAGUAAACAAAUCAUAUAAAAAUGUUUGAAAAUAAAGAUUUUCAUGUGUAAAAAUAAAUCCCAAGUGAAAAAUAAAUCAGGUGGAAAAAGUCACAUGUGGAAAAAAUAUGAAACACGUGAAGUGUUUAAAAACACAUUAGUCUAUGAAAGGAAGCUAUCAUUGCUGUGGAUACCCUGUGCACUGGUUCAGUGGUGCCAGAAGGUAGAGUCACAGUUCUCAUGCUUUGAGAUGGCGAGAGCCUGGACGAUGAAUUGGGUCACUCCAUGAAAACCGCAGCCAAACUGUGACAUGAGGGUAAAAUCCCACCUUCACGCUGACUUUACCAUAAAACAUAAUGGCAUACGGGUCAAAAAUAACAUCUCCACUCAAACAUGAGUUAUGAGGCAUCACAUUUACUGUAUUGCACAUGAAAAUAACAAUGAAUUUCCAUCCAUUUUCCAUACCACUUCUCCUACAUAGGGUUUGCAGGGAAGCCUGGAGCCUAUCCCAGGGGAUUUGGGCCACUUGGGACACCCAGGACAGGGUUGCAAUCCAUCACAGGGCACAAUCGCACACACACUCACACACUAUACUGUCAAUUUAGAGAUGCCAAUCAGCCUUCAACACAUGUCAUUGGACUGGGGAGGAAACCGGAGCACUUGGAGGAAACCCCAGUGCGGAGACGGGAAUCGAACCCCCAACCCCGGAGAUGUGAGGCAAACAUGCUCACCACUAAGUCACCAUACCCCCUUAACAAUGAAUUUUAACACAAGUUUGAAAAUGAUCAACAAUUUGGACCAUUCUACAGAUCUGUUAACUUGAAUAUUUCAAGAAGACUCUUUAGUCUAUUUUUUAAUCCAAUCACAAAGAAGGAUUCAUUAACUUUCACUAGGAAAGUUAAGGUAAGACCAUAUCAGUUAUUGUAGUUGCGAUAUAUAUUAAUCGAGUGACUUCACUAUACCCUGCGUGAAACGUUGUGAGUAUAACAUGGUGUAACUUACCUGGACACGAACAAUUACAGAUUGUCAAAACGCCUGCGUUGAAUGAUUAUUGAAAGGACGUGCGGAUGUACUCUCAGGUGAUACACAUCAUGCCUGAAUGUGGGGUCUGGUUGGAAAUUCGAAGCUUGGGAAUAAGGCUGUUUCGAGCAGAACACUCCCAAAACAGGACACGAUAAAACUACAAACUUUAAAAAUGUUGAUUUUAUCUAUCAUCUUAAGUUCUGGUUAUUUUCCUCUGCUUUUAUUUUUUUAUAUAUAUACCAUAAAUUGUGCUGACUGACAGAGAAAUAUUGUUGUUACUAAUGGAAACCUUGUUUUUUAUUACACCCAAAAUGGGCUGUGAAAUGACCCCUAACAACCAUCCCGAUAGAUAACUAUUAAAUAGCCUCUGUACUAAAAUAGGAAGACUUUUAUUACAGGAAAGGUUAGGAAUUAAAGCACAAACUAAUUACUUUCUUAUGUAUGGUAAGGAAUGUCACAAUUUUUGGUCACUAAUUAAUGGGAGAAUUUAGAAAGGCAUUAUGUUUUUACAGUAAUAGGAACAGGACAACACUGAAAUUAUAUUAUGUUUAUCUCAAGGUGUAACACCUUACAUUAAUCAUGAUAUUUAUCUAUAUUCACUGCAAUGUUUCAUUUUAUUGCCAGUGAUUUAUAUACAUUUGAAUGGCUGAGGUUUUCAUGGAGUGACCCAGUUGCUCUGCAUAUUCUGACAGAUAUAGUCUGAUCUGACGUCGUGUGGACAAAAUCAAUGUGAUGUGGUCUGCAAAGUCAAACUAGCCAUCGAUUGGUGCUGGUGGACCGUGAUGUAGUGGUGAUAAUGAGUCAAGCUUGAUGGAGAUAUUGUGUUGAACUGAGAGACUUACUGGAAAAGGACUUUGAGACGGCGAUUUCAAAAGAGCUGAAUUUUGUUGGGACAGAGGUCAUAAGAGAAAUGGAGAGACUGGAGGACUGUUCAAUCACAAUGUGGUGUCCCAUGAGAGAAGAAGGGAGACCAAGCACUGAGCUGACUUUGAAAGCACAAUAGGAGAGGGGCCCAAGCACUGAUCUGAAUUUGGCAGCACAGUAAGAGAGGGGCCCAAGCACAGAUCUGAAUUUGGCAGUACAGUAAGAGAGGGGCCCAAGCACUGAUCUGAAUUUGGCAGUACAGUAAGAGAGGCGGCCAAGCACUGAUCUGACUUUAACAGUACAGUAAGAGAGGGGCCCAAGCACUGAUCUGACUUUAACAGUACAGUAAGAGAGGGGCCCAAGCACUGAUCUGAAUUUGACAGUACAGUAAGAGAGUGGCCCAAGCACUGAUCUGACUUUAACAGUACAGUAAGAGAGGCGGCCAAGCACUGAUCUGAAUUUGGCAGUACAGUAAGAGAGGGGCCCAAGCACUGAUCUGACUUUAACAGUACAGUAAGAGAGGGGCCCAAGCACUGAUCUGAAUUUGGCAGUACAGUAAGAGAGGGGCCCAAGCACUGAUCUGACUUUGACAGUACAGUAAGAGAGGGGCCCAAGCACUGAUCUGACUUUAAAAGUACAGUAAGAGAGGGGGCCAAGCACUGAUCUAGUUGGACUGUUCACACAAAGUUAUCCAGUACAAUUCUUUUUGAGAGAUAGGACCCAUGAGUGCUGAUCUAAUGGAGUGGUACAGGUGUACAGGUUCCCAACCUUGGUCCUUCUACUCUGUUCAUCUUCUUCCUGAUACGUCAAUUUUAUGUACACAAAAAUUGCAACCUAGGGGUCCAUAACAGACGGGUAACAAAAAAAAAAUACAUUACCGAGGCCUUUUAUACAACACCUCAUUGGUGUAGCCUUUAAGAAUUCAUAAAAGUAGAAGUAAACUCCCAGACAUGUUUUGAAAUUUAUGUGUUGCUGCAGAAGCUGAUCAUUUGUUUUAGCACUUGUAAUUUUGGAAGGAGGAAGAGAAGAAACCGUAUCAGUGCUCAUCUUACGACUCAUCAUCUGACCAUACCGAACAUCCUUUCAACACAUUUAGUGCUGUUUGUCUUUACAGUACUACACCUGUAUACUGUAAUGAUCUAUAAUCCAUCUAUCAUCCAGAAGAAGUUGGGUUCCUCUUAAAGUUUCUUUGUGAUGUUUUAUCGGGGAGGUUUUCCUAGCCUCUGUUGCCACUGGCUUGUUCAUUAGAGAUCUAAAUCUACAUCCAGAUUUCUGUAAAGCUGCUUUGUGACAGUAUAUAUUGCUGAAAGUGCUAUACACCUAAAACUGAAUUGAAUUGAGUAGGGUUUUUUGAAUCAGAGCCUUCUGCUCUCAACAGCUCUGAUCUUGACCCUUAGACAGCAUAAUAAUGCCAGGGCAAGACAAGCUGCAUUUUCUGUCUUAUUACCUUCAAAAGAGAGAAAAAGAGAAGCUGGUAAGAGUGAACGAAUGUUAUAUAUAUA